rnacentral:rRNA from 1 species
UAGAGGAAGUUAAAGUCGUAACAAGGUUUCCGUAGGUGAACCUGCGGAAGGAUCAUUACACUCAGUAGUUUACUACUGUAAAAGGGGCUGUUAGUCUGUAUAGCGCAAGCUGAUGAGCAGCUGGCCUCUUUUAUCCACCCUUGUCUUUUGCGUACCCACGUUUCCUCGGCAGGCUUGCCUGCCGGUUGGACAAAUUUAUAACCUUUUUAAUUUUCAAUCAGCGUCUGAAAAACUUAAUAAUUACAACUUUCAACAACGGAUCUCUUGGUUCUGGCAUCGAUGAAGAACGCAGCGAAAUGCGAUAAGUAGUGUGAAUUGCAGAAUUCAGUGAAUCAUCGAAUCUUUGAACGCACAUUGCGCCCCUUGGUAUUCCAUGGGGCAUGCCUGUUCGAGCGUCAUUUGUACCCUCAAGCUCUGCUUGGUGUUGGGUGUUUGUCCUCUCCCUAGUGUUUGGACUCGCCUUAAAAUAAUUGGCAGCCAGUGUUUUGGUAUUGAAGCGCAGCACAAGUCGCGAUUCGUAACAAACACUUGCGUCCACAAGCCUUUUUAACUUUUGACCUCGGAUCAGGUAGGGAUACCCGCUGAACUUAAGCAUAUC